CUACGGGACGCUGCAGUGGGGAAUAUUGCACAAUGGAGGAAACUCUGAUGCAGCAACGCCUCGUGGAGGAUGACACUUUUCGGAGCGUAAACUCCUUUUAUAUAGGAAGAAGAUGACGGUACUAUAUGAAUAAGCGCCGGCUAACUCCGUGCCAGCAGCCGCGGUAAUACGGAGGGCGCAAGCGUUACUCGGAAUCACUGGGCGUAAAGAGCGUGUAGGCGGAUUAAAAAGUCAGAAGUGAAAUCCUAUAGCUUAACUAUAGAACUGCUUCUGAAACUCUUAAUCUAGAAUAUGGGAGAGGUAGAUGGAAUUUCUGGUGUAGGGGUAAAAUCCGUAGAGAUCAGAAGGAAUACCGAUUGCGAAGGCGAUCUGCUAGAACAUUAUUGACGCUGAGACGCGAAAGCGUGGGGAGCAAACAGGAUUAGAUACCCCCGUAGUC
rnacentral:rRNA from 1 species